AAAUCCCUGCGGUGCGCGUUGGACUUCUGAUAAUUGUUGAACCAACAAUUAUGUGACGGGCGCCUCCCUUCUCCUGCGCCUUGGCGCCGGAGAGAAGGUACCCACCUGUAACCACAUCGGUUCAGAAUAUCACUCCAACGGCAAACGCGGGGAUUUU
rnacentral:other from 1 species